UACGUAGGGGGCAAGCGUUGUCCGGAUUUAUUGGGCGUAAAGAGCGUGUAGGCGGCCUUACAGGUCAGCUGUGAAAACUCGAGGCUCAACCUCGAGACGUCGGUUGAAACCGUAUGGCUAGAGUCCGGAAGAGGAGAGUGGAAUUCCCGGUGUAGCGGUGAAAUGCGCAGAUAUCGGGAAGAACACCCGUGGCGAAGGCGGCUCUCUGGGACGGUACUGACGCUGAGACGCGAAAGCGUAGGGAGCGAACAGG
rnacentral:rRNA from 1 species